rnacentral:tRNA from 1 species
CCGACCUUAGCUCAGUUGGUAGAGCGGAGGACUGUAGUUGACUCGCAGAAGAUCCUUAGGUCGCUGGUUCGAAUCCGGCAGGUCGGA